GGUUCCCAGACUAGGGGUCGAAUCGGAGUUACAGCUGCCAGCCUACACCAGAACCACAGCAAUGCAGGAUCCGAGCUGUGUCUGUGACCUACACCACAGCUCACGGCUACACUGGAUCCUUAACCCACUGAGUGAGGCCAGGGAUCGAACCCGCAACCUCAUGGUUCCUAGUCGGAUUUGCUAACCACUGAGCCACGACGGGAACUCCAAUCUUGAAAUUCUUAAUAGCUUUUGCAUAAGAGACCCCUCAUUUUUAUGAGGCCCCACAAAUUACGUAGCUGGUCCUGCAUCUUCCAAUAGCGUUUUAGCAAGAGUUAAGUCUGAGUGUGUGAAAGAGGCCCCAAGAGAUGAUUCCUCCCCCCACCCGCCUCCUUCUUUCCUUCCUUCCCCAAACAUCAAUGGAUGGCAGGUGCUGUCGCAGACACUGGGAUUGAGCAGUGAGCCAGAGUCGCUGCCUUCCUGCCUUCAAGGGAAGGAGGCUGAAGACAAACAACCAGAAGAGAACUUUGUUGGCGAUAAGUGUCAACAGCAAAGGGAUAGAUGAUGACGGGGGAGACUUUUAAGCUGUUGGGGUGCAGGGUUGGAAGAGCUCCCUGAGGCUUUGAUCAGAGACCUGAAUGAAGGGAGGGCAUGCACUGUGUGGAAUAUCAGAAGGAAAGAGAGUCCCAGGCAGAAGGACCAGCAGGUGCAAAGGCCCUGAGGUAGGUGUGUGCUUACCCCGUGGCAGAGACCAGUGUGGUGAGAGCUGGCCAGAGGAGGUGGGUGGAGGGAGAUGAGCUCAGCAAGGUGCAACAGGGCUUAUAAACUGUUGUGAGGCUGUGGUGGGGGUAAGUGAAUGACCAGGUGGGUAGAGGAUUCCUUCAACCAGAGCUGGUUGUUUGUGGCCCCCUAUGCUUAGUACCUGGAGGCCAGAAUGGCAGGGGGCGGGGGAGGAUGGUGUUUCAUUGUCUUCUGGACACUUGGUGACAAGUUGUCCCUGCACAGGGACAAGUGGCAGCCUCAAGCGCGAGCCCUCUGCUGUGGUUGAGGGAUGGUUCCUGUCUUAGCUCUCCACCGCCUCCUCUGAAGCCUGGGCCUCCGCGUCUCGACCUCUGACAAGUUGUGCCACCCAAGAGCCAACCCAGGAGUUCCCAUUAUGGCUCAGUGGGUUAAGAAACCAACGAGUAUCCAUAAGGAUGUGGCUUCAGUCCCUGACCUCUCUCAGUGGGCUAAGGAUCUGCAAUUGCCAUGAGCUGUGGUGUAGGUUGCAGACACAGCUCGAAUCUGUGUUGCUAUGGCUGUGGUGUAGACCGAUGAGACCCCUAGCCUGGGAAUUUCCAUAUGCUGCAGGUGAGGCCCUAAGGGGAAAAAAAAAGGCCAACCCAAAGGCGCCUGAUGAUGUCUGUGCCAGAAGAGCCCCCAGGCUGGCCAUUGCAAUGUGGCUUGGGUGAGCCUUGUUCCCUUUCUCCAAGUGACCUCCGAGAUGCAUGGUGUGCAGGCUGGGGAGUGGGACGGCCAGGCAGCCUCUGCCUCCAGGUCCCAUGGGCAGAGCUGGAAGCUGCUCUGUGCUGUUCUGUGCUUGUGGCUAAACAGAGACCCUUACUCCCAGCCGGUGACCUCAGGGCAGAGGGUCCUGGGGAAAGUGUCCCCUCCCUGGGACCCCAUCUCCUCAUCUGCACUUGGGGAUACUCAUUGAGGAUUCAGUGAGAAGGCAGGUGAAGCACAUAGACUGUGGGAAACCUUCACUCCCUGGGUCCUCGUGGAAGUGGGGACCUGGCCGGAGUGUCACCUCUCAGACCCAGACCCUGGCCACAGCCAGCCCCCUCCCCCCCGCCCCCGAGAAAUGAACUGCAGAGAGUGAAACAACCAGAACAUGCUGUGUGUGACAGGUCCUCGGAGCCACCAUCUGUACCAUGAAGGGGACGGACUCAAGGACCUCGGGGGCCCCCUCGGGCCUUGAGAAUCCAAGAUGGGAAAGUGAGAGCCUCCUGCAGGAUGAUACCACUGCUCCUGCAGACUGCAAGCCCCCAUCUUCACCUUGCGGCCCUAGCGGGUCACCCCCAAAAGGAACUGGCCUGCAGGCAGAAGGCUCUGGCUGUCAGUCCUUCUAUCACAGACCUGGCCCUCCCGCUAUCACACAUGGGAGAGGAACCGUGUCAGGCCGUUGUUACAAGCCCAGACUCUGCAGCCAGCCCUGCUGCUUUCUAGCUGUGUGACCUUGAGCGAGUGACGUAACCUCUCUGAGCCUCAGUCGUCACAGCUGAAAAAUGGGUAUAAAAACAGCAUCUACUGCAUAGGGUUGUGGGAGCCUGUGAGGACCGUGCGUGGCGCCCGCAGCCCUGUAGACGGGCAACACGUUCCUGUCCUGGUGAACUGGUUCCACAGCUGAGGACGGGGUCUCCUUCCCAGGCCCUGGCUUCUCAGCCACCCCCAGAACCCCUGCCUGAGAACCAGUGUCCUCUGGGAGCAGCUGGGCAGGUGUAACCUCGUGACAAGGACAAGACAUCUGGAAAGAAAGGAUUGCAUUGAACAUCGCUGAUGAUGGGGAGUAGGGGACCCCUAAAGCCGUAGUUUGGAGGGAAACUUGACCUUGAAAGGGUGUGAUAACCUAAAAAGAGAGAAGGGCUGAGGCCUGGACCGUCGAACUCCCCCAGGCUGGCUCUGAUGCUGACUCCCACUGCUCUCCUGUCCUUCGGAAUCUGGUUUCCUUCUCCUGAACCAAGGAUAUUAGACCUCACAAGCGAGUCAGAAAACCUCAGGGGGACAUCCAUGAAAAUACGUACCCCGGCCACUGUCGGCCACGUGCUUGGCCGUCCCUGAGGCCCCGCUGGUGCCCAGCCCUAUUCUAAGCACUCCUCAUAUUUGAUUCAUCCCCAUUGAUGGGGAGGCACCGGCUGCCCCCCGGACACAGCAGGGGGCUGGUUUAUCCCCGCCUCUGCGGCCUCACUCGGAUAAUUGAUCCAGGCUUUCUUUCCAGCUUAUCUCUUGGAACAUGGACCCUGGAAAGUCCAAUAUGAGGCCUAUACAGAAGAUUCUUUUCCUUCCCACUGGAUCUCUUCUCCAAUAGUGUUUACUGUCCAGAGUUACACCCAGGAAGAGGCAGCUGGGGGAGCGAUGGCCUUGAGGCAAAAAUUCAGAACCCGCUUGCCAGCACUCACCUUGCCGCUUACGUCUGUGUGGAUGUGACCCAGAUUGGCACAGGGGAUCAGGGCCCUGGUGGGUCUGGAAUCACCUUUAAGGAGCUCAGAGGUGCUUGCUCAGGGUCACACGAGCUAGGCUAGGCUCAGAACGGAGCCCCGGACGGCCUCAUCCUAAAGCCUGCUCUAUACGCCCGCCCCCACAGGGUCCCUAGGAAGCCCCGACCUUGCCCCUCGGACUUGCUGAGUCUUCCUCUGGCUUCAUUACUGGGCAGUGAGGGGGAAAUGAAACACCUGCCAUGUUCUUCCUCUUCCCAGCAAGGAGGCGCCUCAGGAACCCCCACUCCCAGCAGGACCCCGGCAGUCCUGAGGCUGUCCUGGGCCAGCAGGCUUUGUAAAUGGCUCACACAUGCAGAGCCUCUAAAUGAAACGUGGCCACCACCUGCUGGGGGUCAGAGUGUGUCUGUCUGUGUGUGUGUGUGUGUUCGCACGCGUGCAUGUGCCCGUGUGCAUGUGCAUUCAGGGAGCGAGCCCAGAGAGAAGGAGAGACAGGAGACUCAGAGAUGGAGAGGCAGAGGGGACGCUUGGCGCACAGGACCCGAGACAGGAGAGGGGCUUGGCCCAGCCACGGAGCUCGCUGGUGGCUGAGUCCAAAACCGAAACCAGAUCCCCAGACCUUUUAUCCUUACAUCCUCUGGAGCUGCGGGAAAAGUACCAGUUUGCCCAACUGGAGCCUGGGCUAAAGCUCUCUCUUAUAGCCCUCUUCUGAGCAUCCCCUCUAGAGCAAACAGGAGACACACAGGUGACUGGCACCAUGGCUCUGUGUGCUCUGCUUUAGGGCAGCUAAAGCAUGUGUGAGUCACUGCGCGGCCUCCCUCACUGCCACGCUGAGACACCCCCCAUGCACCCUGCGGUCAGGUGUUCACAAGGGGCAAAACCACCUGCCCUUGGCCUCCUGGGUCCCUAUUUCCCCUCGGCCUUCUUAAGCCCUGACUCCUUUAUUUUGCUAACAUUUCUUACUCUAGAGUCCACAGAUUGGGGUGUAUUUACGGGUUGUUUUGUGUGUGUGUGUGUUUUGUUUUUUCAGGGCUACACCUGCGGCAUAUGGAAGUUCCCAGGCUAGGGGUCAAAUUGGAGCUGCAGAUGCCAGCCUUCGCCACAGCCAUAGCAACUCGGGAUCAAGCCGUGUCUGCAACCUACACCACAGCUCAUGGCAACCCUGGAUCCUUAACCCACUGAACGCAGCCAGGGACUGACCCCGCAUCCUCAUGGAUACUAGUCGGGUUGGUAACCCACUGAGCCACAACGGGAACUCCUGUGUUUACAUUUUUAAAUGAUGAGAACUGCCCAUCCAAUAUUCAGGCUACAAUUUCCAUUCCUCAAAGGACAAUAUGUGAAUUCUUUCCACCAGAAGUGGACCAUUGAGGAGUUCCCAUUGUGGCUCAGCAGAAAUGAAUCUGACUAGCAUCCAUGAGGAUGCAGGUUCAAUCCCUGGCCUCGCUCAGUGGAUUAAGGAUCCGGCGUUGCCGUGCGCUGUGGUGUAGGUCACAGACAUGGCUCAGACCCCACGUUGCUGUGGCUAUGGUGUAGGCUGGCAGCUGUAGCUCUGAUUUGACCCCUAGCCUG
rnacentral:lncRNA from 1 species